AGAUUACUAGCUUAAUUGGUAAGAGUAACUCGACUUUAAUCGAAUGGUUCCUGGAGUUCAAGUCUCAGGUAAUUUA
rnacentral:tRNA from 1 species